UACAGAGGUCCCAAGCGUUGUUCGGAUUCACUGGGCGUAAAGGGUGCGUAGGUGGUCAGGUAAGUCGGAUGUGAAAUCUCCGAGCUCAACUCGGAAACUGCAUUGGAAACUACCUGUCUCGAGGGUUGGAGGGGGGACUGGAAUGCUUGGUGUAGCAGUGAAAUGCGUAGAUAUCAAGCGGAACACCAGUGGCGAAGGCGAGUCCCUGGACAGCUCCUGACACUGAUGCACGAAAGCUAGGGGAGCAAACAGG
rnacentral:rRNA from 1 species